UGGUUAGAGUGUAGGGACGACAGGUAGCCUAGUGGUUAGAGUGUAGAGGUGGCAGGGUAGCCUAGUGGUUAGAGUGUAGAGGUGGCAGGGUAGCCUAGUGGUUAGAGUGUAGAGGUGGUAGGGUAGCCUAGUGGUUAGAGUGUAGAGGUGGCAGGGUAGCCUAGUGGUUAGAGUGUAGGGGCGGCAGGUAGCCUAGUGGUUAGAGUGUAGAGGUGGCAGGGUAGCCUAGUGGUUAGAGUGUAGGGGUGGCAGGUAGCCUAGUGGUUAGAGUGUAGGGGCGGCAGGUAGCCUAGUGGUUAGAGUGUAGAGGUGGCAGGGUAGCCUAGUGGUUAGAGUGAAGGGGCGGCAGGUAGCCUAGUGGUUAGAGUGUAGAGGCAGGUAGCCUAGUGGUUAGAGUGUAGAGGCAGGUAGCCUAGUGGUUAGAGUGUAGAGGCGGCAGGGUAGCCUAGUGGUUAGAGUGUAGGGGCGGCAGGUAGCCUAGUGGUUAGAGUGUAGAGGUGGCAGGGUAGCCUAGUGGUUAGAGUGAAGGGGCGGCAGGUAGCCUAGGGGUUAGAGUGUAGGGGUGGCAGGGUAGCCUAGUGGUUAGAGUGUAGGGGGG
ensembl:lncRNA